rnacentral:rRNA from 1 species
AUGGCGAACCAAGGUCAACAAGAUCCGGUGGUCCUCCCCAUAGUUCCUUGCCCGGACUGUGGGAGGGACGUGGUCAUGUAUGUCGCACGGCGAGGACAGAGCGCCGGCCAGAGGUUUUACAAAUGCCGCAAUCACAAUCCUGGGGCAGGUGGUUGUGAUUUCUACCGCUGGCAGGAAGCAUACGCCGCUCAUUUGGGUGUUGUUCUGCCGGCAGCAGAGCCAGGGGAUCAAAUCCAAGCGGCUGUCGACCAACCUCAGGCGCAGAUCAACCAACCUCCAGUUCAUCAACCACUACAGAACCACGGACCGAGAGUGGAAGACGUUGCCGCCGUGAUGAAUCAGGUGGUUGCAUCUCUUAUGGGCAUCGUCGAUGGUGCACGCCAGAAGGGGGUGUUUGUGGCGGACGCGGCCUCCAUUAACAUCGGGAUGUCAGUGGCAAUCUUCAUCAUAUGUGUUUGUAACCUUGUGCUGCUUGUAGCUGUCAUUCUUAUGAGGGCACAAGAGUAG